rnacentral:rRNA from 1 species
UGUAGCGGUGAAAUGCGUAGAUAUAGGAAGGAACACCAGUGGCGAAGGCGGCUACCUGGACACAACACUGACGCUGCAGGUGCGAAAGCGUGGGGAGCAAACAGGAUUAGAUACCCUGGUAGUGCACGCCGUAAACGAUGUCAACUAGCUGUUGGGACUCUUGAAGUGUGAGUGGCGCAGCUAACGCACUAAGUAGACCGCCUGGGGAGUACGGUCGCAAGAUUAAAACUCAAAUGAAUUGACGGGGGCCCGCACAAGCGGUGGAGCAUGUGGUUUAACU